GCACAAGCAGUGGAGUAUGUGGUUUAAUUCGAAGCAACGCGAAGAACCUUACCAGGUCUUGACAUCCGAUGCAUAGCACAGAGAUGUGUGAAAUCCUUCGGGACAUCGAGACAGGUGGUGCAUGGUUGUCGUCAGCUCGUGUCGUGAGAUGUUGGGUUAAGUCCCGCAACGAGCGCAACCCUUAUGGUCAGUUACUACGCAAGAGGACUCUGGCCAGACUGCCGUUGACAAAA
rnacentral:rRNA from 1 species